UACGUAGGGUGCAAGCGUUAAUCGGAAUUACUGGGCGUAAAGCGUGCGCAGGCGGUUUUGUAAGACUGUCGUGAAAUCCCCGGGCUCAACCUGGGAAUGGCGAUGGUGACUGCAAGACUAGAGUUUGGCAGAGGGGGGUAGAAUUCCACGUGUAGCAGUGAAAUGCGUAGAUAUGUGGAGGAACACCGAUGGCGAAGGCAGCCCCCUGGGUCAAAACUGACGCUCAUGCACGAAAGCGUGGGGAGCAAACAGG
rnacentral:rRNA from 1 species